CAACUGGAUAAUGCAUGCUCUUGCCUCUUGGAAUUGUCGAUUACUGUUAUACACUCUAGUGGACGUGCAUGACAUUGAAACUGGUUUGUCUACACAAUUUUGAGAUAUUUCAGCAAAGAACAAUCUUCAAAUUUACAAUCCCAUGUGUUUUUACGUUGUAUGUUGCUCGUUAGCGAGACAUAUUUCAGGGAUUUGUUGAGUACAUGUACAGCAUG